AGCGAACGCUGGCGGCAGGCCUAACACAUGCAAGUCGAACGAACCUUUCGGGGUUAGUGGCGGACGGGUGAGUAACACGUGGGAACGUGCCUUUAGGUUCGGAAUAACUCAGGGAAACUUGUGCUAAUACCGAAUGUGCCCUUCGGGGGAAAGAUUUAUCGCCUUUAGAGCGGCCGGCGUCUGAUUAGCUAGUUGGUUGAGGUAAUGGCUCAGCAAGGCGACGAUCAGUAGCUGGUCUGAGAGGAUGAUCAGCCACAUUGGGACUGAGACACGGCCCAAACUCCUACGGGAGGCAGCAGUGGGGAAUCUUGCGCAAUGGGCGAAAGCCUGACGCAGCCAUGCCGCGUGAAUGAUGAAGGUCUUAGGAUUGUAAAAUUCUUUCACCGGGGACGAUAAUGACGGUACCCGGAGAAGAAGCCCCGGCUAACUUCGUG
rnacentral:rRNA from 1 species